UACGGGGGGAGCAAGCGUUGUUCGGAUUUACUGGGCGUAAAGGGCGUGUAGGCGGCCAACUAAGUCCGACGUGAAAUCCCCAGGCUUAACCUGGGAACUGCGUCGGAUACUGGAUGGCUUGAAUCCGGGAGAGGGAUGCGGAAUUCCAGGUGUAGCGGUGAAAUGCGUAGAUAUCUGGAGGAACACCGGUGGCGAAGGCGGCAUCCUGGACCGGCAUUGACGCUAAAGCGCGAAAGCCAGGGGAGCAAACGGG
rnacentral:rRNA from 1 species